CCUCUACGUUAAAGAUUAGAGAUGUGAAUGUGUCUGACUCUGGGCUUUACUACUGUGGGACGCAGCCAGGGGACCACAUGAUCUAUCACAACGCAACAUACUUAACCAUCACAGCUUCUGUAGAUGAGGUUGAGCCCGAGCCCAAGCCCUCAGAGACAGUAGAGGACGGGCAGUUCUGCAGUGGGGUGAGUGUAGCUGCAUGAGUGUGUUUUGUGUUCCUGCAGGGCAGUUCUGCAGUGGGGUGAGUGUAGCUACAUGAGUGUGUUUUGUGUUCCUGCAAGGCAGUUCUGCGGUGGGGUGUGUGUAGCUGCAUGAGUGUGUUUUGUGUUCCUGCAGGGCAGUUCUGCAGUGGGGCGUGUGAAGCUGUCAUUCUGGUUCUUAGGGUUCUCAGUGCUGUUCUCGGUCUGGCGUUUUUCAUCGUGAUCCUGAUCAAAUGCAGAGCUGCACUCAGAACACAGAACACAGACCCUGGUAAUCUUACAGCGUCUCCACCUGAGCAGGACUCAUGCGUGUAGCACGCAGCUCUAAGCUUCAACGAGAGGGAGAAGAGAAGAAGGACCCUCCACAGAGAAAGCACAUAUACGUGUGUCUUAUAUUUUGCUAUAACACCAAAGCUAUACAAAAAGUUGCAUUGAUGCUGUUGUAUUUCACUGCUAUACACUGUUCAGAAUUACUGUGUUCUGGUUCAGUCCAAUUUGUAUUA